CGCAAACCAGUCGAAGAGAUAAUGGACUUCCUAAGUCUUGACGUCACAAAAUUGGGAGGAGCUUAUAUUUGGCUCCAAACAAUUUUGUUUGUAAUGUUAAACACUCAUAAGGAAUUUUUAAUUUAUUGUUUACGUAGUUUGUGUGACAAAAUAAGACUUUUCAUUUAGGUAUUUAGUUAAAGAAACGUGCCAAUUAAGAGAUUUUUAUUCGUUUUGGCUCAGGUGAGUUAAUUUAAUGCAAUGAUUAGAACGUAAACAGUGUUGAGGUUAUGUUUAUUUUCAAUCACUAAGGAAUAAAAACCACCUGAGCAAAAACGAAUAAAAAUCUCUUAAUUAAUACGUUUCUUUAACAAAAUACGUAAAUGAAGUCUUAUUUUGCCACACAAAGCACAUAAAUGAAAAAUGUCUUAUGACCAUUUAACCUUACAAUCAAAAUUGUUUGGAGCCAAUAUAAGCUCCUCCCAAUUUUGUGACAUUUGUGACGUCAGACUUAGGCUGUCCAUUGUCGUCAGGACGCGCGGAGUGAAGGCUCACUCUAUGUUAAUAUAUACCUAUGCAAACGUCCGUGUUGAGUUUAGUCACGUUUAGUGUGGUCUCUUCUAGAACCGUCUAUAUUCCUUAGAAUACGAUCGACUCAGGCGUUCGACUCAGGCGAUAAUGCACGUAGUCCCAAUGCAGAGAUUAAACCUCUUUUAAUGUGCAUGCUUCCUAGGGCGUCAUUAUCUGAAUCUCGUCUUGAUGAAGAUACAUCCGGUGAUAUAUUUGUGUUUUCUGUUUAUCGUGCAAGUGCAGUCGUGCAUUAAUGAAGUUCCUAGUUCCUAUAAUAAAGUAUAUAUUAUAAUGAAGUUAUAGUAAAGAGAAAUAAAAAAAGUCUUUUGUGUAAUAUUUUUAAGUAUCUAUAAGUUUAGUAUUGUAAGGAACUAUUUCUAUAAAAGCUUUUUGCUAUGUAUUCACAAAAUUAUGGAUACUGGAUUGCUUUCUGAAAAGUGCCCUACAAAUGUCCAUAAGACGUACAUUGAAUGUACAUAACCCAGGCAACCAAGAGACGUCAAUAACGUCGAGGAAACGUCAGUUUUUGGUUGAAUAUACACACGUGGUUGAACAUUACGUCAUACCGACGUCUUUUGUAGGUGAUUUUAAAUACGUAAAAUUAAUGACGUUAAAAUACGUUUAAAAGACGUUUUCAUUUCAGACAGCCGAAGUCUGACGGCUGACGUCACGAAAUUGGGAGAAGCUUAAAAGUUACAAAACAAAGGUUAUAGGUUAUGUUUGUAUCGUCGUUUCAUAUUUUGGAUUCAUUUGGAUUUGGUUGGCUGUUUUUUUGUGAAUUUUUUAAAAGUUUUGUUUGUAAUUUGUGAAUUUUAUAAAUUUACCACAAUGCAAAGUGAUUAUUUAAGGAAAUUAUUAUUGGAAACUCCAAAUGUUGGAGGAAAAGGUAUUCAUUGAAGCUGAAAAUAAUUGGUUUUUUAGAUCCAUGUACAAUUCAGUCAUCAGAAUUGGAUUUUACAGUAAAGUGCACAUUCCACCAAAUACUAUUAUAAUGCUAUUAUAGAUACAUAUUUAUACAUAUCUGGUAGAGUCUCACAGUUACUAAUUUAAGCAGCAGAUGAAAGCAUACAAAAGCCUUUAGGCACAUAAAAUCCUUCACAACUGGAUUUGUUUUGAAAGUUAUUGUUGGAAAGGUGAAGCAUUCCCAAAAAGCUAAUGCGAAACCACUAGGUGCUUGGGCGAUAGCCAGUUCCAGUGGCAUAGCAAAUGCACAUUGUAUGUAUCUGGCUGGUAAUAGUGAAGUUUGCAGCAAUCUUAUUUGCAGCUGAGUAUGCCCACAGCAAGACAGAAGAAAAAGAACCCAAUGCAUGUACAGAUGUUACAGCUAUGUACAUUCUCUGAUGAAAAAUUAAUGAGUUUUGAAACUGUUGUCAGAGUGCUUGUUGCGCUCUCUAAACGAACUGAAAUAUAAGACGGCUUUGGCUUCAUGUUGCAGCGAUAUGAAAAUGGUUAUUCAUUUUUAAUUAUAAUGCACUUCUUAAUCAUGAGUAUUUAUGUAUUAGUCUUUUAAGUGUGUAUUAUCAGAUAUCACGUGUAAAUUCUUUUUAUCAUUUUAAUUUCGUCAUGACAGUCCCUUAUUCAAAAAAUAUAUUUUUCAGGUGUCUGUAGAUCUUUUUGUAUGCAAAAAUGUGUAAUAAUUAUUUGAAAUCAAUUUGAGGAUUAUAAGAGUAUGGAAAUAUAUAUGAGAAUACAGACUAUUAUAGUUUUGUCCUAUUUUUUAUCAUUAAAUCCUCUUCCUUAAAAUUUAUAAAUAUAAAGCAGAUAGUUUUAAUUGAAAUUCAAUAUAUUGGGUCUUAUUUAUAUGUAUUCAUUUCUGACUAAAGGUACAAUUCCGACAACGACUGCAGACGGCAACUGCAAACAUCAGUUGCAGUUGUCAGUGUUACGGACGUAACUACUUUGCACUAUUUAUCUGUAUGAGACUGAUUCCGACAUCUGACUGCAACUGCUGUCCGGCAGAACGUCAGUUGCUAAUAAUUAUGCAAAUUAAUAGUACAAAAUAAUGACCGUCUGAUAUGGUGACAACUGUAACUGCCGUCUGCAGUCGUUGUCGGAAUUGUACCUUUAAAUGUGUGGUAUAAUUAUAAUAAUUAUAUAUAUUAUAUAAC
rnacentral:lncRNA from 1 species